rnacentral:misc_RNA from 1 species
AACCUAGCACACCUGCGGUGUGUACCUGCGGAGGGAUCAUUACCUAGAGUUGUAGGCUUUGCCUGCUAUCUCUUACCCAUGUCUUUUGAGUACCUUACGUUUCCUCGGUGGGCUCGCCCACCGAUUGGACAAAUUUAAACCCUUUGCAGUUGAAAUCAGCGUCUGAAAAAACUUAAUAGUUACAACUUUUAGCAAUGGAUCU